CAGUCGACGCGUUGGCCCAUUGAUUGAUGGUGCUUGCACCUGAUUGAUUUUGGUUGCCAACGAGUGGCGGACGGGUGAGUAACACGUAGGUAACCUGCCCAGAAGCGGGGGACAACAUUUGGAAACAGAUGCUAAUACCGCAUAACAGCGUUGUUCGCAUGAACAACGCUUAAAAGAUGGCUUCUCGCUAUCACUUCUGGAUGGACCUGCGGUGCAUUAGCUUGUUGGUGGGGUAACGGCCUACCAAGGCGAUGAUGCAUAGCCGAGUUGAGAGACUGAUCGGCCACAAUGGGACUGAGACACGGCCCAUACUCCUACGGGAGGCAGCAGUAGGGAAUCUUCCACAAUGGGCGCAAGCCUGAUGGAGCAACACCGCGUGAGUGAAGAAGGGUUUCGGCUCGUAAAGCUCUGUUGUUAAAGAAGAACACGUAUGAGAGUAACUGUUCAUACGUUGACGGUAUUUAACCAGAAAGUCACGGCUAACUACGUGCCAGCAGCCGCGGUAAUACGUAGGUGGCAAGCGUUAUCCGGAUUUAUUGGGCGUAAAGAGAGUACAGGCGGUUUUCUAAGUCUGAUGUGAAAGCCUUCGGCUUAACCGGAGAAGUGCAUCGGAAACUGGAUAACUUGAGUGCAGAAGAGGGUAGUGGAACUCCAUGUGUAGCGGUGGAAUGCGUAGAUAUAUGGAAGAACACCAGUGGCGAAGGCGGCUACCUGGUCUGCAACUGACGCUGA
rnacentral:rRNA from 1 species